rnacentral:rRNA from 1 species
AGUGAACGCUGGCGGUAGGCCUAACACAUGCAAGUCGAACGGCAGCACAGUAAGAGCUUGCUCUUACGGGUGGCGAGUGGCGGACGGGUGAGGAAUACAUCUGAAUCUACUUUUUCGUGGGGGAUAACGUAGGGAAACUUACGCUAAUACCGCAUACGACCUACGGGUGAAAGCAGGGGAUCUUCGGACCUUGCGCGAUUGAAUGAGCCGAUGUCGGAUUAGCUAGUUGGCGGGGUAAAGGCCCACCAAGGCGACGAUCCGUAGCUGGUCUGAGAGGAUGAUCAGCCACACUGGAACUGAGACACGGUCCAGACUCCUACGGGAGGCAGCAGUGGGGAAUAUUGGACAAAGGGCGCAAGCCUGAUCCAGCCAUACCGCGUGGGUGAAGAAGGCCUUCGGGUUGUAAAGCCCUUUUGUUGGGAAAGAAAAGCAGCAGGUUAAUACCCCGCUGUUCUGACGGUACCCAAAGAAUAAGCACCGGCUAACUUCGUG